rnacentral:rRNA from 1 species
AUUGAACGCUGGCGGCAUGCCUAACACAUGCAAGUCGAACGGGAUCCUAGCUUGCUAGGUGAGAGUGGCGGACGGGUGAGUAACACGUGGGAAUCUGCCUUUUGGUUCGGGAUAACCGCGGGAAACUGCGGCUAAUACCGAAUGCCCUCGAGAGAGGAAAGAUUUAUCGCCAGAAGAGGAGCCCGCGUCCGAUUAGGUAGUUGGUGGGGUAAAGGCCUACCAAGCCGACGAUCGGUAGCUGGUCUGAGAGGAUGAUCAGCCACACUGGGACUGAGAUACGGCCCAGACUCCUACGGGAGGCAGCAGUGGGGAAUAUUGGACAAUGGGGGCAACCCUGAUCCAGCAAUGCCGCGUGAGUGAUGAAGGCCUUAGGGUUGUAAACUGCUUUUGCCAGGGGAUAAAAUUUCCAUGCGUGGAAAACUGAAGGUACCUGGUGAAUAAGCCACGGCUAAACUACGUGCCAGCAGCCGCGGUAAU